CAGUCGAGCGAAGCACUUAUGAAAGAUUCUUCGGAUGAAUUCAUUUGUGACUCGAUCGGCGGACGGGUGAGUAACGCGUGGGUAACCUGCCUCAUACAGGGGGAUAACAGUUGGAAACGACUGCUAAUACCGCAUAAGCGCACAGUACCGCAUGGUACAGUGUGAAAAACUCCGGUGGUAUGAGAUGGACCCGCGUCUGAUUAGCUGGUUGGUGGGGUAACGGCCUACCAAGGCGACGAUCAGUAGCCGACCUGAGAGGGUGACCGGCCACAUUGGGACUGAGACACGGCCCAAACUCCUACGGGAGGCAGCAGUGGGGAAUAUUGCACAAUGGGGGAAACCCUGAUGCAGCAACGCCGCGUGAGUGAAGAAGUAUUUCGGUAUGUAAAGCUCUAUCAGCAGGGAAGACAGUGACGGUACCUUGUGAGAAAGUCACGGCUAACUACGUGCCAGCAGCCGCGGUAAUACGUAGGUGACAAGCGUUGUCCGGAUUUACUGGGUGUAAAGGGCGCGUAGGCGGACUGUCAAGUCAGUCGUGAAAUACCGGGGCUUAACCCCGGGGCUGCGAUUGAAACUGACAGCCUUGAGUAUCGGAGAGGAAAGCGGAAUUCCUAGUGUAGCGGUGAAAUGCGUAGAUAUUAGGAGGAACACCAGUGGCGAAGGCGGCUUUCUGGACGACAACUGACGCUGAGGCGCGAAAGUGUGGGGAGCAAACAGGAUUAGAUACUCUGGUAGUCCACACCGUAAACGAUGGAUACUAG
rnacentral:rRNA from 1 species